rnacentral:misc_RNA from 1 species
GAUGAAGAACGCAGUGAAAUGCGAUACGUAAUGUGAAUUGCAAAUUCAGUGAAUCAUCGAGUCUUUGAACGCACAUUGCGCCCCCUGGUAUUCCGGGGGGCAUGCCUGUCCGAGCGUCAUUGCUGCCCUCAAGCACGGCUUGUGUGUUGGGCCCCGUCCUCCGAUGCCGGGGGACGGGCCCGAAAGGCAGCGGCGGCACCGCGUCCGGUCCUCGAGCGUAUGGGGCUUUGUCACCCGCUCUGUAGGCCCGGCCGGCGCUUGCCGAUCAACCCAAAUUUUUAUCCAGGUUGACCUCGGAUCAGGUAGGGAUACCCGCUGAACUUAAGCAUAUCAAUAAGCGGAGGA